rnacentral:rRNA from 1 species
GACGAACGCUGGCGGCGUGCCUAAUACAUGCAAGUCGAACGAACUCUGGUAUUGAUUGGUGCUUGCAUCAUGAUUUACAUUUGAGUGAGUGGCGAACUGGUGAGUAACACGUGGGAAACCUGCCCAGAAGCGGGGGAUAACACCUGGAAACAGAUGCUAAUACCGCGUAACAACUUGGACCGCAUGGUCCGAGUUUGAAAGAUGGCUUCGGCUAUCACUUUUGGAUGGUCCCGCGGCGUAUUAGCUAGAUGGUGAGGUAACGGCUCACCAUGGCAAUGAUACGUAGCCGACCUGAGAGGGUAAUCGGCCACAUUGGGGCUGAGACACGGCCCAAACUCCUACGGGAGGCAGCAGUAGGGAAUCUUCCACAGUGGACGAAAGUCUGAUGGAGCAACGCCGCGUGAGUGAAGAAGGGUUUCGGCUCGUAAAACUCUGUUGUUAAAGAAGAACAUAUCUGAGAGUAACUGUUCAGGUAUUGACGGUAUUUAACCAGAAAGCCACGGCUAACUACGUGCCAGCAGCCGCGGUAAUACGUAGGUGGCAAGCGUUGUCCGGAUUUAUUGGGCGUAAAGCGAGCGCAGGCGGUUUUUUAAGUCUGAUGUGAAAGCCUUCGGCUCAACCGAAGAAGUGCAUCGGAAACUGGGAAACUUGAGUGCAGAAGAGGACAGUGGAACUCCAUGUGUAGCGGUGAAAUGCGUAGAUAUAUGGAAGAACACCAGUGGCGAAGGCGGCUGUCUGGUCUGUAACUGACGCUGAGGCUCGAAAGUAUGGGUAGCAAACAGGAUUAGAUACCCUGGUAGUCCAUACCGUAAACGAUGAAUGCUAAGUGUUGGAGGGUUUCCGCCCUUCAGUGCUGCAGCUAACGCAUUAAGCAUUCCGCCUGGGGAGUACGGCCGCAAGGCUGAAACUCAAAGGAAUUGACGGGGGCCCGCACAAGCGGUGGAGCAUGUGGUUUAAUUCGAAGCUACGCGAAGAACCUUACCAGGUCUUGACAUACUAUGCAAAUCUAAGAGAUUAGACGUUCCCUUCGGGGACAUGGAUACAGGUGGUGCAUGGUUGUCGUCAGCUCGUGUCGUGAGAUGUUGGGUUAAGUCCCGCAACGAGCGCAACCCUUAUUAUCAGUUGCCAGCAUUAAGUUGGGCACUCUGGUGAGACUGCCGGUGACAAACCGGAGGAAGGUGGGGAUGACGUCAAAUCAUCACGCCCCUUAUGACCUGGGCUACACACGUGCUACAAUGGAUGGUACAACGAGUUGCGAACUCGCGAGAGUAAGCUAAUCUCUUAAAGCCAUUCUCAGUUCGGAUUGUAGGCUGCAACUCGCCUACAUGAAGUCGGAAUCGCUAGUAAUCGCGGAUCAGCAUGCCGCGGUGAAUACGUUCCCGGGCCUUGUACACACCGCCCGUCACACCAUGAGAGUUUGUAACACCCAAAGUCGGUGGGGUAACCUUUUAGGAACCAGCCGCCUAAGGUGGGACAGAUGAUUAGGGUG